rnacentral:tRNA from 1 species
GGACGGGUGGCGAAACCGGUAGACGCACUACCUUGAGGUGGUAGCGGCCGCAAGGCCUUGGAGGUUCGAGUCCUCUCCCGUCCA